AGUGAACGCUGGCGGUAGGCCUAACACAUGCAAGUCGAACGGCAGCACAGUAAGAGCUUGCUCUUACGGGUGGCGAGUGGCGGACGGGUGAGGAAUACAUCGGAAUCUACUUUUUCGUGGGGGAUAACGUAGGGAAACUUACGCUAAUACCGCAUACGACCUACGGGUGAAAGCAGGGGAUCUUCGGACCUUGCGCGAUUGAAUGAGCCGAUGUCGGAUUAGCUAGUUGGCGGGGUAAAGGCCCACCAAGGCGACGAUCCGUAGCUGGUCUGAGAGGAUGACAAGCCACACUGGAACAAGAGCACGCUCCAGACUCCGGGGAGAGGGAGAAGGGGGGAAGAGAGAAGAAGGGGGGCAAGCUUGAUCCGCCCAUGCGAGGGGGGUAAAGAGGGCCUUCGGGUUAUAAAGCCCUUUUGUGGGAAAAAAAAAAGAGCAGGUAAAAACCCCGCUGUUCGGACGUUCCCAAAAAAAAAGACCCGGGCAAAUUUCGGC
rnacentral:rRNA from 1 species